AAAUAAUACGAGGGAGGUGCCUCAUCAUCCGCUUUCACACCUCAGACUUAGAGAUCUGGCUGCCCUUGCCAUGGAACCACUCCGCUCUGCUGCUCUCCUCUCUCCCGCCCCAACCUCUCUCUCUUGCGACCUUCUCCUCUCCACUCGCCCGCUCUGCCGCAGCUGGAGGUCUCUCCCCUGUCGGCAUCCAGCUCGUCGGGACUUCCUCUUCUUCUGCUGCGCCAACACCUCUACCGGCCCUUCCCCGACCAAGCAGCAGCCGGCCACUCCCGUAUCGUUCGGAUUUAACAGCCUCAAGGAGACCCUCACUGUCAAUGUCGCUAGCGCCGAGGGUCGGGCCCUUGACGUCCCCCUCGCUCGCCCCUUCACUAUCGCCUCCUCUCGCCUCGACCGCGUUACAAAUGUUGCCGUCCGAGUGGAGCUCCGAAAUGGCAGUGUCGGAUGGGGAGAGGUCCCCGUGCUACCCUCGGUCACAGAGAAGAAUCAGUCCGAUGCGCUAGCAGCUGCCGCCACGGCCUGCUCCGCCCUCGUUCACAGCUUGCCGAUGACGCUCGGAGAUGUGCUUUCCGAGGUCGGCCGCUUGCUUCCGGGUCACGACUUCGCUUCGGUAAGAGCUGGAGUUGAGAUGGCACUGAUUGAUGCUGCUGCUAACAGUAUCAGAAUUCCUCUUUGGAGAUUGUUUGGUGGAGCAUCGAAUUCUAUUACAACAGACAUAACAAUUCCAAUUGUAUCUCCAAGUGAAGCUGCUGAGUUGGCUGCAAAGUAUUGUAGACAAGGGUUCAGCACUUUGAAACUAAAAGUAGGGAAAGAUUUGAAUUCGGACAUUGAAGUUCUAACAGCAAUAAGAUCAGUUCAUCCUGAAUGCUCAUUUAUUUUGGAUGCAAAUGAAGGGUAUAAAGCUCAUCAAGCGAUUGAAGUUCUAGAUAAGCUUCAUGCUAUGGGUGUCAUUCCCAUUCUAUUUGAGCAACCUGUUCAUAGAGAUGAUUGGGAAGGUCUUCGUCUUGUUAGCCAUGUUGCAAAGGAUAAAUAUGGUGUAUCCAUUGCUGCUGACGAAAGUUGCAAGAGUGUCAAUGAUGCUAAUAAAAUUAUACAGGGAAAUCUAGCACAUGUAAUCAAUGUCAAACUUGCUAAGCUUGGUGUUGUUGGUGCACUUGAGAUAAUCAAUAUUGCUAGAGAAGCAGGCAUCGCUCUUAUGAUUGGUGGAAUGGUCGAAACAAGACUAGCAAUGGGUUUUACUGGUCAUCUCGCUGCUGGCCUUGGUUGCUUCAGUUUCAUUGAUCUUGACACACCACUCCUUCUUGUUGAAGAUCCAGUCAUUGGAGGUUAUGAAGCUUCCGGUCCUGUCUACAAGUUCAACAAUUCAAGUGGCCAAGGUGGUUUUCUUCAUUGGGACAAUGUCUGAUGAGACGAGCACUAAACCUUCCGGAUUAUUUAUCUUCUUGUCAUGGGUGCUGUAUCACUGCAGGACAUACUGUUGCCGAAGGUGCCAUUCCCUUUGGUUAUCUGUUAAUCCAUAUGCUAAAAAGUAUUAAAUGGUGAUGACAAGUUUCAGUUGGAAAUUUAGAGUACAAUUUUCAAAUAUAAAGAAAAAACUAAUCAAGAUUAAAUGAUCACAACUUAUUUAAGUCUAUUGGUUUAAUCUCGAUUUAAAUUUCUUUUAUUUGAGACAAUCAGCCCUAGUUCAU